rnacentral:rRNA from 1 species
GUGCACCAGGCGCGAAACCUUCGCAAUGCGCGAAAGCGCGACGAGGCUACUCUGAGUGCCAUCCGCUGAGGAUGGCUUUUCUCGGGUCUAAAAAGCCCGGGGAAUAAGGGGAGGGCAAGUCUGGUGUCAGCCGCCGCGGUAAUACCAGCUCCUCGAGUGGUUGGGGCGUUUAUUGGGCCUAAAGCAUCCGUAGCCGGCUCCAUAAGUCCCCCGUUAAAUCCAACGGCUCAACCGUUGGGCUGCGGAGGAUACUGUGGGGCUAGGGUGCGGGAGAGGCGGACGGUAUUCCCUGGGUAGGGGCAAAAUCCGCUGAUCCAGGGAGGACCACCAGUGGCGAAGGCGGUCCGCCAGAACGCGCUCGACAGUGAGGGACGAGAGCUGGGGUAGCGAACCGGAUUAGAUACCCGGGUAGUCC